rnacentral:tRNA from 1 species
GAGGGUAUAGCUCAAGUGGUACAGUGAAUGCUUAUCAUGCAUGAGGCUCUGGGUUCAAUCCCCAGAACCUCCU